UACGUAGGGGGCAAGCGUUGUCCGGAUUUAUUGGGCGUAAAGAGCGUGUAGGCGGCCACACAGGUCAGCUGUGAAAACUCGAGGCUCAACCUCGAGACGUCGGUUGAAACCGUAUGGCUAGAGUCCGGAAGAGGAGAGUGGAAUUCCCGGUGUAGCGGUGAAAUGCGCAGAUAUCGGGAAGAACACCCGUGGCGAAGGCGGCUCUCUGGGACGGUACUGACGCUGAGAGACGAAAGCUAGGGGAGCGAAUGGG
rnacentral:rRNA from 1 species